rnacentral:rRNA from 1 species
AGAGUUUGAUCCUGGCUCAGGACGAACGCUGGCGGCGUGCUUAACACAUGCAAGUCGAGCGGUAAGGCUCCUUCGGGAGUACACGAGCGGCGAACGGGUGAGUAACACGUGAGCAAUCUGCCCUUCACAUCGGAAUAACCAUUGGAAACGAUGGCUAAUACCGAAUAUGACUUCGGAAUGCAUGUUCUGAAGUGGAAAGCUCCGGCGGUGAAGGAUGAGCUCGCGGCCUAUCAGCUUGUUGGUGAGGUAAUAGCUCACCAAGGCGAUGACGGGUAGCCGGCCUGAGAGGGUGACCGGCCACACUGGGACUGAGACACGGCCCAGACUCCUACGGGAGGCAGCAGUGGGGAAUAUUGGACAAUGGGCGAAAGCCUGAUCCAGCAACGCCGCGUGAGGGAUGACGGCCUUCGGGUUGUAAACCUCUUUCAGCGGGGACGAAGCGAAAGUGACGGUACCGCAGAAGAAGCACCCGGNCAACUACGUGCCAGCAGCCGCGGUAAUACGUAGGGUUGCAAGCGUUGUNCCGGAAUUAUUGGGCGUUAAAGGGGCUCGUANGCCGGUUUNGUCACGUCNGGGAGUUGAAAAACUCCAGGGGCUCAAACCCUUGAGGCG